UUUUAUAUUACUUUUGGGACUAACCUAUUAACCGGAGGCCCAGCCCAUAUUGUUGUUUUAUUGCGUAUUUCAGUGUUUCGAAGAAAAGGAAUAGCAAACGGAGUCCAAAUAGAAUGAAACCUUCGGGAGCAUGAUUUUUGGAACGAACAUGAUGCGGGAGACUUGGAGUACAAGCCAGGGAAGCUUCGAGGAGGCCAGGAGAUAGGAGGGUGCGCCCACCUCCCUGGGCGUGCCCCUGUCUCGUGGGCCCCUCGAGCCUCCCCUGACCGACUUCUUUCGCCUAUAUAUUCCCUUAUACCCUAAAACCAUCGAAUACGAAGAUAGAUCGGGAGUUCUGCCGCCGCAAGCCUCUAUAGCCACCAAAAACCUCUCGGGAGCACGUUCCGGCACCCUGCUGGAGGGGGAAUCCCUCACCGGUGGCCAUCUUCAUCAUCCCGGUGCUCUUCAUGACGAGGAGGGGGUAGUUCACCCUCGGGGCUGAGGGUAUGUACUAGUAGCUAGGUGUUUGAUCUCUCUCUCUCUCUCUCUCUCUCUCGUGUUCUCUCUAUGGCAUGAUCUUGAUGUAUCGCGAGCUUUGUUAUUAUAGUUGGAUCUUAUGAUGUUUCUCCCCCUCCACUCUCUUGUGAUCAAUUGAGUUUUCCCUUUGAAGUUAUCUAGUCGAAUUGAGUCUUUAAGGAUUUGAGAACACUUGAUGUCUGUCUUGCCAUGCUUAUCUGUGGUGACAAUGGGAUAUCACGUGAUCCACUUGACGUAUGUUUUGGUGAUCAACUUGCGGGUUCCGCCCAUGAACCUAUGCAUAGGGGUUGGCACACGUUUUCGUCUUGACUCUCCGGUAGAAACUUUGGGGCACUCUUUGAAGUACUUUGUGUUGGUUGAAUAGAUGAAUCUGAGAUUGUGUGAUGCAUAUCGUAUAAUCAUGCCCACGGAUACUUGAAGUGACAAUGGAGUAUCUAGGUGACAUUACGGUUUUGGUUGAUUUGUGUCUUAAGGUGUUAUUCUAGUAUGAACUCUAUGAUAGAUCGAACGGAAAGAAUAGCUUCGUGUUAUUUUACUAUGGACUCUUGAAUAGAUCGAGCAGAAAGGAUAAUUUUGAGGUGGUUUCAUACCCUACCAUAAUCUCUUCGUUUGUUCUUCGCUAUUAGUGGCUUUGGAGUGACUCAUUGUUGCAUGUUGAGGGAUUGUUAUAUGAUCUAUCGAUGUUAUUAUUGUUGAGAGAACUUGCACUAGUGAAAGUAUGAACCCUAUGCCUUGUUUCCUACCAUUGCAAUACCGUUUACGCUCACUUUUAUCAUUAGUUACCUUGCUGUUUUUAUAUUUUCAGAUUACAAAAACCUAUAUCUACCAUCCAUAUUGCACUUGUAUCACCAUCUCUUUGCCGAACUAGUGCACCUAUACAAUUUACCAUUGUAUUGGGUGUGUUGGGGACACAAGAGACUCGUUGUUAUUUGGUUGUAGGGUUACUUGAGAGAGACCAUCUUCAUCCUACGCCUCCCACGGAUUGAUAAACCUUAGGUCAUCCACUUGAGAGAAAUUUGCUACUGUCCUACAAACCUCUGCACUUGGAGGCCCAAAAACGUCUACAAGAAGAAGGUUGUGUAGUAGACAUCAAGCUCUUUUCUGGCGCCGUUUCCGGGGAGGUGAGUGCUUGAAGGUAUAUCUUUAGAUCUUGCAAUCAAAUCUUUUUGUUUCUUGUUUUAUCACUAGUUUAGUUUAUAAAAGAAAACUACAAGAAAAUGGAUUUGAGUUUGUCUCAUACGCUUCAUCUUUUUAAUAUCUUUCGUGAGUAUGAUGAAAAGGAAAACUGUGCUCAAUUGCUAGAAGAAGAAUGCAUUAAAAAAUUUGGUACUAGAUUGUAUGAUGAGCAUGAUUGCAAUGUUGUUAGUAUGAAUUCCUUGAAUAUCCAUGAUGCUAAUGAUAUGCAAAGCCACAAGCUUGGGGAAUCUAUGUUUGAUGAAGAUGAUAUUUUUUAGCCUCCCAAGUUUUGAUAUGCAAAGUUGUUAUGAUGAUAGCAUGCCUCUUACCUAUGAUCAUUAUAUUGAUGAAAGUGGGUUUGGAAGAGUGUCAACUUUAGGAAGUAAUGAUUCCACUAUUUUGGAAGAUGUUGAAUCUUAUUGUGAUGAAUAUGAAAGUGGAUUUGGAAGAGUGUCAACUUUAUUUAGUGAUGAUUCCACUAUCUUGGAAGAGGUUUCAAUCGAUCAUGAUGAGAACAAAGUUGCUACUUAUGAUGAUUAUUGUGAUGAAACUUAUGCUAUAAAAAGUAGUGAUGAUUGUAUUUAUAAAACUUGUCAUGAUUAUGAUUAUCCUUUUUUCUGAACAUUACUCUUUUAAUGUGGAAACAAUUUAUAAUAUUCAAGUCUUUUAUGAUACUCCCACUAUUCCGAAUGAGAGGAAUUUUGCUUAUGAGGAGAGUAGUAAAUUUUCUAUGCUUGUAGAUCAUGAAAAGAAUGCUUCAGGUGCUGUUUAUAUUGUUGAAUUCAUUCAUGAUACUACUGAAAAUUAUUAUGAGGGAGGAAUAUAUGCUUGUAGGAAUUGCAAUAAUAUCAAGUUUCCUCUCUAUGUGUUGAAAAUCUUGAAGUUAUGCUUGUUUAGACUUCCUAUGCUAAUUGAUUAUUGUUCCCAUAAGUUGUUUGCUCACAAAAUCCCUAUGCAUAGGAAUAGGGUUAGACUUAAAUAUGCUAGACAUAUGCUUCAUGAUGCUCCCGUUAUGUUUCAAUUCUUAUCUUUUAUGUGAGCAUCAUUGUCAUCAUCAUGCCUAGCUAGAAAGGCAUUAAAGAAAAGUGCUUGUUGGGAGACAACCCAAUAUUUACCCUUAUUGUUUUUGUGUGUCCACAUGAUUAUGCUACUGUAGUAAUCAUGUUUUAUAUCUUUUGUUUCAAUAAAGUGCCAAGUAAGACCUUUAGGAUAGCUUACGGUGAUAGUUGUGUUGAUCCUGCUGAGAAUCAGAAACUUUUGCACCCAGUAAAUUAGUUUCGUUAAUUCACAGAAACUUUCUUAUGAUCUGAUUCUUUUUUCUCUGGAUUGGUACAAAUUUCUUAGGACCUCCUAAUUUGGUAUGAUUUUUGGAGUUCCAUAAGUAUACGUUUGAUACAGAUUACUACAUAUUGUUCUGUUUUUGACAGAUUCUGUUUUCUAUGUGUUGUUUGCUUAUUUCGAUGAAUCUAUGAGUAGUAUCGGAGGGUAUGAACCAUAGAGAAGUUGGAAUACAUAAGAUAUUAGAACAAUAUGAAUUUAGAAUGAGUUCAUUACAGUACCUAAGUGGUGGUUUUAUUUUCUUAUACUAACGGAGCUUACGAGUUUUCUGUUGAGUUAUGUGUUGUGGAGUUUUCAAGUUUUGGGUAAAGAUUCGAUGGACUAUGGAAUAAGGAGUGGCAAGAGCCUAAGCUUGGGGAUGCACAAGGCACCCCAAGGUAAAAUUCAAGGACAACCAGGAGCCUAAGCUUGGGGAUGCCCCGGAAGGCAUCCCCUCUUUCGUCUUCGUUCAUCGGUAACUUUACUUGGAGCUAUGUUUUUAUUCACCACAUGAUAUGUGUUUUGCUUGGAGCGUCAUUUUAUUUUGUUAGCAUUUGCUUGCUGUUAUUUAGAAUAAUGUUUUGCAUCUAUAGUUUCAAUAAAAAUGUCAAGGAUAGCCUUUACCAUGCUUAUUUUGCUAGUAUAGAUGUUGCUGUUUGAAAACAGAAAGUUUACCGCUGUUGCAAAACAUUCCCUACAAAAGUCAGAGAACGGUAUAAUGUUGAAUUUUUUUGCAUAAUGAGAUCUGAUAAAUCUUCUACAUCGUAGUAUUUUUAUUAUAAUUUUUGGAGUUAGGGAAGUAUGAUGAAUCUUGCAUUCUUUACAGACUGUACUGUUUUGACAGAUUGCUGUUAUGUUUGCAUUGUUUGCGUAUGUUUGCUUGUUUAAUGAUUCUAUUUGAGGAUAGGAAUAUUAAAUAUGCAGAGACAUUUAGUAUGCAAUGUUGAAUAAUAAUUUUAUUGAUUUGUUACAGUAGAAAAUGAUAAGGUUUUGCAUUGGUUUAUACUAGCCCAUCUCACGAGUUCUUGUUGAGUUUGGUGUGGAUGAAGCUUUUGAUAAAAAGAGAAACCAUGAUAUGAGAUGAAUUAAGAAGACACAAAAGUUCAAGCUUGGGGAUGCCCAAGGCACCCCAAGAUAAUAUUUCACGAAGUCUCAAGCAUCUAAGCUUGGGGAUGCCCUAGUAGGCAUCCCACCUUUCUUCUUCAACAACUAUCGGUUAGUAUCGGUUGAGCCUAAGUUUUUGCUUCUUCACAUGAGUUGUGCUAUCCUUGCAAUGUCAUUUUAUUUUGUUUUGUUUGAUGCUUUAAUAAAAUACCAAGAUCUGAAAUUCUUUAAUGAGAGAGAGAGUCUUCACAUAGUUACAUAAUUAUUUAGCUACUCAUUGAUCUUCACUUAUAUCUUUUUGGAGUAGUUUGUCAUUUACUCGUGUGCUUCACUUAUAUCCUAUGAGUAAAUGGUUGAAUGAGUUGAAUGUCAUAAAUCUGGAAUUAUAUAUGUAUCAUUUGCUUAUCCCAUGGGGAGUAAUGAAUUCACAUCUAAGAAGUAGAGGUUGUAAAUUUAUUGAAGGUUAGCAAGCAUUGUAUUGGUCAUCUGAACAAUUCAUGAAAGAAUAUUGAAGGAAGAGAGAUUUCACAUAUAAAUAUACUAUCUUAGCCAUCUUUUAUAAUUGUGAGCACUCAUUAAGUAUGACAUGCUAAAGAGUUGAUGUUGGACAAGGAAGACAACGUAAUGGGUUAUGUUUUCUCACAUCUCAGUUAAAGUAUAUUGUCAUGGAUCAUUCAAACAUGUUGAGCUUGCCUUUCCCCCUCAUGCUAGCAAAAAUUCCUUGCACCAAGUAGAGAUACUACUUGUGCUUCCAAAUAUCCUUAAACCCAGUUUUGCCAUGAGAGUCCACCAUACCUACCUAUGGAUUGAGUAAGAUCCUUCAAGUAAGUUGUCAUCGGUGCAAGCAAUAAAAAUUGCUCUCUAAAUAUGUAUGAUCUAUUAGUGUGAAGAAAAUAACCUUUAUACGAUCUUGUUAUGGAAGCAAUAAAAGCGACGGACUGCAUAAUAAAGGUCCAUAUACAAGUGGCAAUAUAAAGUGAUGUUAUUUUGCAUUAAGAUUUUGUGCAUCCAACCAUAAAAGCGCAUGACAACCUCUGCUUUCCUCUGCGAAGGGCCUAUCUUUUACUUUAUGUCUUUUACUUUAUGCAAGAGUCAAGGUGAUCUUCACUUUUCCCUUUUUUCAUUUUAUCCUUUGGCAAGCACCUCGUGUUGGAAAGAUCCUGAUAUAUAUAUAUAUAUAUAUAUAUAUAUAUAUAUAUAUAUAUAUAUAUAUCCAAUUGGAUGUAAGUUAGCAUGAACUAUUAUUGUUGACAUCACCCAAAGGUGAAUACGUUGGGAGGCAACACUAUAAGCCCCUAUCUUUCUCAGUGUCCGAUUGAAACUCCAUAACCAUUAGUAUUGCGUGAGUGUUAGAAAUUGUAGAAGACUAUAUGAUAGUUGAGUAUGUGGAGUUUGCUAAAUCAAAGCUCUGACAUAGACCCUUCCUGAAAAUAGGAUGAAUUGUAAUUGUUUGAUGACUGAGAAUGAAGUUGGCUAGUUUUCACGAAAGUUUAUGAUCUAUGCUUUAACAUGUGAAUUGCUUGUUACUUGAUCGUGAGAUGUCUUAUGAGAUGAACUACUGUUAUGACAUAUAAUCAUGCUAGAAAAGGUGAUUGAAAUUAUCAUUGAUCAAACUUGUGCACCAUCUAGCAUUCACACUUCAUAAAUUCUUUCUUUAUCAUUUACCUACUCGAGGACGAGUAGGAAUUAAGCUUGAGGAUGCUGAUACGUCUCCAACGUAUCUAUAAUUUAUGAAGCAUUCAUGCUAUUUUAUUUUAUUUUUUUGAAUGAUUAUGGGCUUUAUUAUACACUUUUAUAUUACUUUUGGGACUAACCUAUUAAUCAGAGGCCCAUCCCAUAUUGUUGUUUUAUUGCCUAUUUCAGUGUUUUGAAGAAAAGGAAUAUCAAACGGAGUCCAAACGGAAUGAAACCUUCGGCAGCGUGAUUUUUGGAACGAACAUGAUCCGGGAGACUUGCAGUACAAGCCAGGAAAGCUUCGAGGAGGCCAGGAGAUAGGAGGGCGCGCCCACCCCUGGGCGCGCCCCCAUGUCUUGUGGGCCCCUCGAGCCUCCCCCGACCGACUUCUUCGCCUAUAUAUUCCCUUAUACCCUAAAACCAUCGAAUACAAAGAUAGAUCGGCAGUUCCACCGCCGCAAGCCUCUGUAGCCACCAAAAACCUCUCGGGAG
rnacentral:lncRNA from 1 species